GAUGAACGCUGACGGAAUGCUUAACACAUGCAAGUCAACUGUGGCGGACGGGUGAGUAACGCGUAAAGAACUUGCCUCACGGAUAGGGACAACAUUUGGAAACGAAUGCUAAUACCUGAUACUGUGAGAGAGCUUUGCGUCCCAUUAGCUAGUUGGAGAGGUAACGGCUCACCAAGGCGAGGAUGGGUAGCCGGCCUGAGAGGGUGAUCGGCCACAAGGGGACAGGGACACGGCCCUUACGCCUACGGGGGGCAGCAGUGGGGAAUAGUGGACGAUGGACCAAAGUCUGAUCAAGCAAUUCGGUUUGCACGAUGAAGUUUUCGGAAUGUAAAGUGCUUUCAGUUGGGAAGCGGUACCAACAGAAGAAGUGACGGCUAAAUACGUGCCAGCAGCCGCGGUAAUUC
rnacentral:rRNA from 1 species